rnacentral:rRNA from 1 species
UACGAAGGGGGCUAGCGUUGCUCGGAAUCACUGGGCGUAAAGCGCACGUAGGCGGAUUGCUAAGUCAGGGGUGAAAUCCUGGAGCUCAACUCCAGAACUGCCUUUGAUACUGGGGAUCUCGAGUCCGGGAGAGGUGAGUGGAAUUCUCGGUGUAGCGGUGAAAUGCGUAGAUAUCGAGAGGAACACCUGCGGCGAAGGCGGGUUGCUGGGCUGACACUGACGCUGAUGCGCGAAAGCUAGGGGAGCGAACGGG